GACGAACGCUGGCGGCGUGCCUAAUACAUGCAAGUUGAGCGCUGAAGGUUGGUACUUGUACCAACUGGAUGAGCAGCGAACGGGUGAGUAACGCGUGGGGAAUCUGCCUUUGAGCGGGGGACAACAUUUGGAAACGAAUGCUAAUACCGCAUAAAAACUUUAAACACAAGUUUUAAGUUUGAAAGAUGCAAUUGCAUCACUCAAAGAUGAUCCCGCGUUGUAUUAGCUAGUUGGUGAGGUAAAGGCUCACCAAGGCGAUGAUACAUAGCCGACCUGAGAGGGUGAUCGGCCACAUUGGGACUGAGACACGGCCCAAACUCCUACGGGAGGCAGCAGUAGGGAAUCUUCGGCAAUGGACGAAAGUCUGACCGAGCAACGCCGCGUGAGUGAAGAAGGUUGUCGGAUCGUAAAACUCUGUUGGUAAAGAAGAACGUUGGUGAGAGUGGAAAGCUCAUCAAGUGACGGUAACUACCCAGAAAGGGACGGCUAACUACGUG
rnacentral:rRNA from 1 species